ensembl:lncRNA
ACAAUUAUAGUCGUUCCUCAGCAUCCUCAGGGGACUGAUUUUGGGAGACCCCUCAGUCCAUGGGGUCGCGAAGAGUCGGACAGGACUGAGCGACUUCACUUUCACUUUUUACUUUCACACAAUGGAGAAGGAAAUGGCAACCCACUCCAAUGUUCUUGCCUGGAGAAUCCCAGGGACAGGGAAGCCUGGUGGGCUGCCGUCUAUGGGGUCGCACAGAGUCGGACACGACUGAAGCAACUUAGCAGCAGCAGCAACAGGUACCAAAAUUCACCAAUGAGCAGGCCCCAGAUGUAAAAUGGCGCCAGGCCUGUGAUUACAGUAAAUCUUCCAAAUGUGCGCUGGUUUCGCAUCUGCAGAUUCAAUCAGCCACUGACCUUCAAUUAGCAGCUACUCGAAUCUCCUGAUUUGAAACCUGUGGUUAUAGAGGGUUGACGGCACCGCUUAAUUAUAAAUGAUACAACUCAGGAUAAGACAAAUGUAUUAUGAAUGUUACAACUCUAUAGGGUAAGUAGGAAGUUGGGGGCACAGAGAGUCUGUGCCACCUCUGGGUGUGCCACCCUCUCAGCCCAUGAAUGUGUUCACAAAUUUGGAACCUCCCUGAACCUCACUGUUUUCAAGAGUUUUUAAUCCAGGCUUCGUAGUGGGCACAGUUGAUUACAUCCUUUGCUGGGAUUGGGCUUCCCUGGUGGCUCAGAGGUUAAAGCGUCUGCCUGAAAUGCGGAGACCCAGUUGUGGAAGACAGGGCCACAGGGAGCAAUGUCAGAUCCAGGAUGUUUGCAGAGGCUAGCAGCUCUGAAGUUUCCAUCCAGACACUGAGGACUCCAAUGGAAUCAAACAUGGUCCCUGCUUGCCCAUGGUCCAAAAUCAGAAUUCCCAUUUCUCCGUCGGGCUAACCAAUGUCAACCAACCAAACUCUGGGCCCUUGGGGAGAGGGAAGGGACCAAGAAAGCAGGGGAGGAAGAUGUGUUUGUCAGAAAAAAACCUGGAAUGUUCUUGAACCGGAUGUAAGUUCUGAGAUUCCCAGCAAAAACAAAGGGUUUCUCUUCAACUCUGACCACUGGUAAGGUUAGAAGACCAGAGUUGAAAAAAACUCAGAGUUAAACUACAGCCUCGUGAAAUGAA